GCUGAAAUAGUUCAGAGAAUGUAGACUGAAGAGCUAAAGGGCCCUGGUUCAAUCCCGGGUUUCAGCC
rnacentral:tRNA from 1 species